rnacentral:rRNA from 1 species
AGUGAACGCUGGCGGUAGGCCUAACACAUGCAAGUCGAACGGCAGCACAGUGAGAGCUUGCUCUUACGGGUGGCGAGUGGCGGACGGGUGAGGAAUACAUCGGAAUCUACUUUUUCGUGGGGGAUAACGUAGGGAAACUUACGCUAAUACCGCAUACGACCUACGGGUGAAAGCAGGGGAUCUUCGGACCUUGCGCGAUUGAAUGAGCCGAUGUCGGAUUAGCUAGUUGGCGGGGUAAAGGCCCACCAAGGCGACGAUCCGUAGCUGGUCUGAGAGGAUGAGCAGCCACACUGGAACUGAGACACGGUCCAGACUCCUACGGGAGGCAGCAGUGGGGAAUAUUGGACAAUGGGCGCAAGCCUGAUCCAGCCAUACCGCGUGGGUGAAGAAGGCCUUCGGGUUGUAAAGCCCUUUUGUUGGGAAAGAAAAGCAGCAGGUUAAUACCCCGCUGUUCUGACGGUACCCAAAGAAUAAGCACCGGCUAACUUCGUG